rnacentral:lncRNA from 1 species
GAGACGACAUUUGUAGAAAGUUUGCUGAUUACUUUAAAGUUUGAACUUGUCAUGUUUACCGGUCUUUGAACCUACUUUUUCCCAUGAACUCCGCUCAUUCUUAAAAAGGUCUCGGACUUCUAUACGAAAUCUAAAGCUUAUCUCUCUGACAUCAUAAGCUCUAAGCUCUAAUAGUGGUAAUUUUUUGAAAUAAAGUGUUUUUACGAAAUUGCCUACAUACCUACAUAUGAACUUUAUCCCUCUUAUUAUAAAACGCGGUAUCAAAUAAGUAUCGGCUUUUGUACUACCUUUAAUCCACCUCUAAGUACGACCUUGAAAAAACGUUAUUACAAAACGCAGUUUAUCGCAAGUCCUAUUACUAUCUGUAGUACAAAAGAUAAACCAUCGAGCCCCCUAGUUUAACUGCAGUACUUAGUCGACAAACGUCAAAUUCCGACAUUAUUUACUUUUGAGGUUAUUUGUUUUGUAAUGAAAAAAACGAAAGUGGAUAUAAAUAUGUGUGAUUUGGAAUACUUGGAUGUGUUAGAAUACUAUUGAGAGUGUCCGGGGACCCAACAGAAUGCGUCAUCGACAAAAUCUCUUCAAAUUACCUGACGACAAUUUUCGAUAUAAAUAUCGAUUUACUUUUUUCGAAAUAAUAGUCAAUUGAAUGCAUGAUGAUAAUCCAGGAUGAUCCUAUGACGCUCAACUGGGCUCGCCAUAAAAUUCAAGACUAUUUUGGUGUUUUCACGCCGUAUCUCUGCCAGUAAUAUGCAAUGUUUGUAAAAGACCGGAAGCUUGCUAAAAUGUACAAAAAUGCCUAGAUGAGAAAGGGAACAAGAUUGUGUGAUGAAGAACAGUGUCCAACAUGUAUCAGUGCAUUUGACUGUAUAAAUAGUCAUUGGAAUAAAAUAUAAUUUUCUACUUUUAUGUUGU